GACAGUAUGACCGAGUGGUUAAGGUGUCAGAUUUGAAAUCUGAUGCACUAUGUGCGCGCAGGUUCAAACCCUGCUACUGUCG
rnacentral:tRNA from 1 species